rnacentral:rRNA from 1 species
GAUGAACGCUGGCGGCGUGCCUAAUACAUGCAAGUCGAGCGAAUGGAUUAAGAGCUUGCUCUUAUGAAGUUAGCGGCGGACGGGUGAGUAACACGUGGGUAACCUGCCCAUAAGACUGGGAUAACUCCGGGAAACCGGGGCUAAUACCGGAUAACAUUUUGAACCGCAUGGUUCGAAAUUGAAAGGCGGCUUCGGCUGUCACUUAUGGAUGGACCCGCGUCGCAUUAGCUAGUUGGUGAGGUAACGGCUCACCAAGGCAACGAUGCGUAGCCGACCUGAGAGGGUGAUCGGCCACACGGGGACUGAGACACGGCCCAGACUCCUACGGGAGGCAGCAGUAGGGAAUCUUCCGCAAUGGACGAAAGUCUGACGGAGCAACGCCGCGUGAGUGAUGAAGGCUUUCGGGUCGUAAAACUCUGUUGUUAGGGAAGAACAAGUGCUAGUUGAAUAAGCUGGCACCUUGACGGUACCUAACCAGAAAGCCACGGCUAACUACGUGCCAUCCACCGCUGUAA